GGCGCGCGGACGCGGAGGCGGCGUUCGGCGGCGCGGGCAAGAUGGCGGCCCUCAGGCCCAGCCUCGACAGCUUCCGGCUCACCGACUUCCCGUCCGCUGCCGCCGCGUUCCGGGGCGACGACGGGCCGAAGCAGGGGUGAACAGGGCUGCUGGAGGUGGAGGAGAGAGGUGAAGGAGGAGAGGAGGAGGUGUUUGUUAUUUAGGUGGUGGUAGCUUUGUGGUUGUGUUAAAAGGAGGAGUAAGCAUUGUGGCUUUGUGGUGUCUUUUUGGAGCUCCCUGGAUGCUGAUGCUGAGAGGUGUUUGUUAUUAAGUAGUAGUAUAAGAUGUAAAAAGACUAUGGCAUGGUUGCAUGUGAGGAUUGGAUGCAUGUGAGGAUUGGUGUAAAAACCUGGUGACUUUGUUGGUACCCUACCUGAAAGUCUGUCUGUCUUGUGUUGUGUGUCUGGUUGAGUUGUGUGGUGAAUGAGAGUGCUAUUGGUUGGGGGUCACUAGUUGUUAUUGUUGGUGUUGUGGUUAUGUUUGUAGCAGCAGAGGAGUAAUAGCUUUUACUAUAUGA